AGAGCAGCAACAAAACUUGCCUGGGAGGAAUACAGGGUAAUUUGAAUAGGAUCUUGAGUUACCCUGUGACUUCGAAAGAACAACAAACUAUAUGACAAAAUCCUUCAUGCAAAUAACUUCCAAGCGGAAAGAAUGACUGGCUCUACUAAACCCCAGCUCACUCCUGAUAUCCUGUUAGCUUGAAGAGGAGUAAAAUGUAAAUAAAAGCGACUCCUUAUGCUGCUUAAAUAUUUCUUUCGUAUCAAAUUAGAAGACAAGUGAUGUGUAAAAUGUGUCAACAGAAAACCAGUGUGAAAAGCUGAACCCAAGCAAGAAGGAUCACACAUUCCUGACCCAGUGCAAUCUACGUUGUCGCUGAAAGUAUUAACAAGGUGGGGGAAAAAAAAAAUAAAAUUUCAACAUUCAUAACUUUAAUGAGCCUAAGAGAAAUGACUGGAAAUCAUACUGAACGGCCUCCUGAGAGAAGAAAAAAAAAAAAGUAUAUGGAGAAUCAAAUUAGUAAGAGCCACAGUGAAAGGAACGCCAGAUUGUUUUAAUGGACAAUUUUGUGGGCAUAUUCAGCAGGAUGUUUUAUAUUUCCUAUAUACCUAAAUGUGUAUUUGGACUACGUAGCCUUUGGCAAAGGGAGCAAUUAAAAGACAAAACAGCUUGAUGAACUGGAACAAACAUGAAAGUGAAACUAGGACAUUGGGUUUAAUUACUUGCAGAAAUAGGCACGGGUUUGCAAGAUUAGCUUGAACAAAUGGGAAGCCUUGAUGAGAUAAAAUAUUGUCUAUAAACUCAUGGCAUUUUUCUUUCCUUUCAGGAGAAACUUGCUGCUGCUGGUCCCUCUGCCCCAAGCUCUCACAGAUCCAAGCCUACAAAACCCAGUGUCACACAUCUCAUAGGCCAAGAUUAUUUUUCGGAACGAUUAGCCUCAGCUGGGAUAGCCUCUAGCUAAGGGCAGCCCACGCAGGUAGGUGCUGUGUGGAUCGUGACUGCACGUGUAGCUCCGCCUGGCUGAGCUCCUUCUCUGCAGCCAUCUGCUGCUUCACCUGAAAUACGCUCAGCUGGGCACUCCUCCAGUGUCUGUAACAUUCCACUGUUGGUUUUGUUGUUGUUGUUGGGUUGGGUUUUUUUGGUCAUAAAAAGGUUAAUGUGCAAGGUAAGGUCAUAAAUAUCUUAGGGACAGUCUUGCUGCUACACUGUAAUGACAGUGCUAGAGAGACAUGAACUGCAGAAUUUUCAACAGGCACACUAUCUGAAUUAAUGUUAUUAAAUGAGCCAAGCUGUGCAAAACGUAAAAUGUUUGGUUUUAGCAUUAAAUCUUGUUGUAUACUUUUCUUUUUUCCUCCUGGUUUGGUUCACUAUGGGCUUGCACCCAUUUCAUUUAGCAGCGGUGGGAGAGGCUUAACACUGUGGUUGGUUCCAUUAUGUCCCUGGUCCUCCCUUUAUUCCAGAUCUCAAAAAAUACCUUGAGAAGGUGGGAUGGGACAGGUGUGGAAGUCCUGAGCAGCCCUUGCAGUGUUCAGUGGGGAAGUGAUGAUGACAAGCCCUAAGUGUAGUGCAGCCAGUCCGUGCAGGCCGUCCGGGUACACGGGGAGGGGGGCUGAGCAUCCCCAGUUGUGCUCCACAGCAAAAAAACUUGGGUGUCAUGUUCUCAGGAUUGUGACCAAGUGUUAAGGGAGUGAGUAAAAUUACUUAAGGUUGGUUUAAAGAGAUGAUAAAAUAAUUUUUUUUCUCGAUUCACUUCUCUCCAGCUUAAGAGGUCAGCAGCAACAGUCUUGAUUUUCAGUGCAUUGCUACUACUGAUGUAGAGACAUAGGUGGACGCUGCCUUCCCUGGACCAAAAGAUAACCCGUCGCUUUCAUCCCGUCUUUAAUGUCAGAUUGUAAAACGUACAGGACAGUGUUAUCUUCCGGUAGCAAGUGAAGCCCAAGGUCUUGCUGGUCCUACACCUAUGUGUAGGGAUGAGAGCUAAGCUCUGCAGAAGUCACUGUAAAACAGCAGUUAGAAGGGUGAGAUGCUGUUUUCUAAUAUCUCAGAUGGUUUGUUGAUUGCUGAAGUGGUCAGGGAAGACAUUUAUCCUAGCUAGAAUGUCUAUAAAUUAAUAAUUCCCAUGAAUUUAGUAGGUUUUAGAACCUUUUAUACUCGGAGU